AAUGAACGCUGGCGGUGUGCCUAACACAUGCAAGUCGAGCGAGAAAGCUUCUUCGGAAGUGAGUACAGCGGCGAACGGGUGCGUAACACGUGAGAAUCUGCCCUUCAGUGAGGAAUACCCCCGAGAAAUCGGGGAUAAUACUGCAUACGUCCCUCCGGGGAGAAAGGUGGCCUCUUGCUACCGCUGAAGGAUGAGCUUGCGGACUAUUAGCUAGUUGGUGGGGUAAAGGCCUACCAAGGCGAUGAUGGUUAGCUGACCUGAGAGGGUGAUCAGCCACAUUGGAACUGAGAUACGGUCCAGACUCCUACGGGAGGCUG
rnacentral:rRNA from 1 species